rnacentral:rRNA from 1 species
UACGAAGGGGGCUAGCGUUGCUCGGAAUUACUGGGCGUAAAGCGCACGUAGGCGGAUUUGUAAGUCAGGGGUGAAAUCCCGGGGCUCAACCUCGGAACUGCCUUUGAUACUGCAAGUCUCGAGUCCGAUAGAGGUGAGUGGAAUUCCUAGUGUAGAGGUGAAAUUCGUAGAUAUUAGGAAGAACACCAGUGGCGAAGGCGGCUCACUGGAUCGGUACUGACGCUGAGGUGCGAAAGCGUGGGGAGCAAACAGG